CGGCCCACCAAGGCUCCGAUCGAUAGGGGGUGUGAGAGCAUGACCCCCCACACGGGUACUGAGACACGGACCCGACUCCUACGGGAGGCAGCAGUAAGGAAUAUUGGACAAUGGGCGGAAGCCUGAUCCAGCCAUGCCGCGUGAAGGAUGAAGGCGCUCAGCGUUGUAAACUUCUUUUGGAUGGGAACAAUAAUCGAGACUUGUCUUGACUUGAGGGUACCAUCAGAAUAAGCACCGGCUAACUCCGUGCCAGCAGCCGCGGUAAUACGGAGGGUGCAAGCGUUAUCCGGAAUCACUGGGUUUAAAGGGUGCGUAGGCGGUCCAAUAAGUCAGCCGUGAAAUCGCUGGGCUUAACCCAUGCAACUGCGGUUGAUACUGUUGGACUUGAAUGGGGUUGAGGCUGGCGGAAUGCGACAUGUAGCGGUGAAAUGCUUAGAUAUGUCGCAGAACACCGAUUGCGAAGGCAGCCAGCUGGGCCUUAUUGACGCUGAGGCACGAAAGCGU
rnacentral:rRNA from 1 species